rnacentral:rRNA from 1 species
GACGAACGCUGGCGGCGUGCUUAACACAUGCAAGUCGAACGAAGGGCGAUGGAAGCUUGCUUCUAUCAAUCUUAGUGGCGAACGGGUGAGUAACGCGUAAUCAACCUGCCCUUCAGAGGGGGACAACAGUUGGAAACGACUGCUAAUACCGCAUACGAUCUAAUCUCGGCAUCGGGGAUAGAUGAAAGGUGGCCUCUACAUGUAAGCUAUCACUGAAGGAGGGGAUUGCGUCUGAUUAGCUAGUUGGAGGGGUAACGGCCCACCAAGGCGAUGAUCAGUAGCCGGUCUGAGAGGAUGAACGGCCACAUUGGGACUGAGACACGGCCCAGACUCCUACGGGAGGCAGCAGUGGGGAAUCUUCCGCAAUGGACGAAAGUCUGACGGAGCAACGCCGCGUGAGUGAUGACGGCCUUCGGGUUGUAAAGCUCUGUUAAUCGGGACGAAAGGCCUUCUUGCGAAUAGUGAGAAGGAUUGACGGUACCGGAAUAGAAAGCCACGGCUAACUACGUG